rnacentral:rRNA from 1 species
GCUAACUACGUGCCAGCAGCCGCGGUAAUACGUAGGGGUCGAGCGUUGUCCGGAGUUACUGGGCGUAAAGCGCAUGCAGGCGGCUCAUUACGCAUGGCGUGAAAGUCCCCGGCUUAACCGGGGAGGGUCGUCGUGAACGGGUGAGCUUGAGGGUAUCAGGGGCUGGUGGAAUUCCCGGUGUAGUGGUGAAAUGCGUAGAUAUCGGGAGGAACACCUGUGGCGAAGGCGGCCAGCUGGGAUACACCUGACGCUGAGAUGCGAAGGCGUGGGGAGCGAACGGGAUUAGAUACCCCGGUAGUC